rnacentral:rRNA from 1 species
GAUGAACGCUGGCGGCGUGCCUAAUACAUGCAAGUCGAGCGAACGGACGAGAAGCUUUCUUCUCUGAUGUUAGCGGCGGACGGGUGAGUAACACGUGGAUAACCUACCUAUAAGACUGGGAUAACUUCGGGAAACCGGAGCUAAUACCGGAUAAUAUUUUGAACCGCAUGGUUCAAAAGUAAAAGACGGUCUUGCUGUCACUUAUAGAUGGAUCCGCGCUGCAUUAGCUAGUUGGUAAGGUAACGGCUUACCAAGGCAACGAUGCAUAGCCGACCUGAGAGGGUGAUCGGCCACACUGGAACUGAGACACGGUCCAGACUCCUACGGGAGGCAGCAGUAGGGAAUCUUGCGCAAUGGGCGCAAGCCUGACGGAGCAACGCCGCGUGAGUGAUGAAGGUCUUCGGAUCGUAAAACUCUGUUAUUAGGGAAGAACAUAUGUGUAAGUAAAUGUGCACAUCUUGACGUUACCUAAUCAGAAAGCCACGGCUAACUCCGUG